GCUGAACACCAAACAAACAGACUGCGUCAGCCAGAAAAAUCAGCAGUAGCAGAACACAUUAUAAACCAUCCUGGGCAUAAAAUGCUGUUUGAAAACACUGAAAUUCUGGACCAUGCCAACAACUGUCAGGGAAGAAGUGACAACUGCAGAGGCUUCAAUGGUUCUUCCACCCCUUCAUGUAUUGGCCCUGAAAUUUAUCCAGGAUGCCUAUUUUUGCAAUUAACCCAUAUAGUGGAUCUGGGGCCAGGUUUAUCCAGUGUCCUUAGCUGAGAUCUCUGACUGAUCAGUGUCGCUGUCCGAAUUUUCCUGCUGGUGAUGAUCCACGCGCCGAGUCACUUUGCUCAAGAACUUC